UGCACGGUGGCACCGGGACUAAAGCCAAGUCCGUCUGACUCCCAGGCCCGUGCCUGUGCGGGUGCUGCCAUACUCCCCUGUUCCCCGCUGGGCCAUGCUUCAUUUGGUUCCCACGGUAACUGGCCCCUUUGAUGUCACAGGCAGAGAAGGCUGGAGGCCCAUGGAAGCUAUGCUGGAUUUGAGCCCAGAUCCCAAAUCUCCAGCCUGUCGUCUUCUCACCACCCACAAGUGCAGGGAGGUUGGUGGCUGUGUGCCAGCGGCCCUCCAUGCUGGGACCACCUGCCCGAGCCCCACUCAGACAACUGGGACAAGCCGGUGUUGGUGUCCAUCGAUCCCUGGACCGUGCCCCUACCCAGGGGUCUCCAGCUGGCAGAGACGGACAGAACCUCACACAUCCAAUGGGAAGGAGCUAUCGUCCUACAUGCCUGGCUUCUGUCUCAGGCCUUAGCAAUGGCAGAAGUGACCUCCAACCACUGGCUCUUGCUCUCAACUAACUUCUCUACCAAGCAGCCUCCUUCAACAAGAAAACCAGGCCAUUCCUUAGAAUCCUGAGCCGAGUGUGGAUGCCAGGCAACAAUUCCAGCAUCUUCCUCCUCGACCCAAAUGCAUACCUCCUGACCUCGCCGUUUCUGCCUCCUGCUAAGACCUCUGAGUCAAGAUGGGCAGCCCCGGCUUCUGGAAGUCUGCCGUGCAAACUUCUCUCCUGAGCCCUGGAGAAACAAUCUGGCCUCUGACAAAAUGGGCUCUGAAAGAAGAACAUUCUUAGAAACCUGAGCCCCUUAUUAAAAGGGCCCAACCUGGCACUCCGUUAAAUUGUUUCUCUGAAGGCAGUUCAAGAAUAAGUAGGGGGGGAAAAUGCAGAGAGAGAAACAGGGAUCAACUGUCUGUCUACACUAAACCUAUUUCCAGAACAUUCA